AUUGGUCAGCUGGGUUCGGCGUGUGUUUGAAGGGUUACGCCCCUUACUACGCGUGGGUUGACACAGAUUCUGACUGAGAGUCACAGCCUCAGAGGCAACGUAAACAAGCGUUAUAUUUCUCUAUAAACGAUGGUGUCUGUACUGCCUUACCACUUCGAGCUCGAUCCAGAGAGUUCAGAAGGCCGUUACGAUAUAAACGAUCUCCGUCAAUGAAUGCGAUUGGAUUUAACUUUUUUAGGUGUCCUUAGCUCUGCCAGAAUGCUAAACGAAGACUAAAAUGUGUUGCAAAGACAUCCAAAAGGUUUUAAGGAGAAUGCAACAGGUUCCAGGGCCUCUUACCUGCGUGAUUCAUCAUCCAGGUUUUGCACAAAUUGUCUAAAUCCCUACACCCAGAACAUUUAUUGUACCGACUAUAAGCCUUUGAGGCGCAGGACUAGAAUGCGCUUGGAGCUUCCUGAUCGGAAUGUUGGCUUCCGACGACCCCUGCACUGAAGAUGGCAUGCAAUCACGUCCUCCUUUGAAGGUCUCUCAAACUGUGAUGCCAGGUCCAUUGGAAUCGGGGUUUCCUUCAGCUUAUC